GGACCAGAGCUACUAGAGGACAGGUAUGCAUAGCAUGCAGCACAUCCAACCGUACUUAGAGAUACAUCGUAGGCCUUAAUUGGCCAAGACAAAACCUUGCGGACACAGAGAGUAAACAGCAACCCCAUUGGUUCCUUUCUUUCAAACCGUUCCCUUAUUUUGGACAGUAGAUGUCACCACCUUCACACGGUAUGUUGAUCCCCUCCAUGUACGAUUGUACGAGUGAAACUGAACAUGGAUUGGCAACAAAAUCGUCUACCAGAAUAGGUUUGGGAGACUCUGUCUGGGCCGGAGCACGGCCUGUCCACUGGGACACAGAGAUGCCAGUGAUGGAGGGACAGUACUCCGGCUGGCGUGGAUGGGACAGUGGAGUGGAUGUCAAGGGAGAGGCCGGAGCUGUGCUGACACUCUCAGCUAAGGGCUCGGACCUCUUCUAAUAGACCGUUACUGAAUUCAAGACUUUUCAGCCACAGGAGGAACAGGGUAGGCACAGAAUAUGAAGAAACAGAUUUACAUUUUCUAGGAUUUAAUUUUUGUAUAUGUUUUUUUUUUACUUUUUGUCAAAUAAAAAUGUAACCUUUUUGUACUCGUAAUAUUCUAUCAUGUUUGGUUUCCAGAAUCAUCAAACUUGUAUUUGUGUGGUUGUGGAACUGUAAGGGAAGUGAAUAGAAUACAUUGAAAGUGGAUUUUAAUACCUAUUUCAUAGAUUUCAAUUGGAAUGGGCUCCAGUGGUCUAGGUAACCCCCACUGAAUAUUUUCUAAGCAAAUGUGCAUGAAUUAUUAUACUUUAUAUAGCCUUGUCUUUCAAGAUUUGGUGGAAUUAAUAUAUAUAUAUAAAUCCUGUGGCUAUAGCCACAUAUUGCAGGUUUUCCUACUUACAAAGCAUGUAGAGGUCUGUCAUUUUUAUCAUAGGUACACUUCAAUUGUGAGAGACUGAAUCUAAAAUCCAGAAAAUCACAUUGUAUGAUUUUUAAAUAAUUAAUUUGCAUUUUAUUGCAUGACAUAAGUAUUUGAUCACCUACCAACCAGUAAGAAUUCUGGCUCUCACAGACCUGUUAGUUUUUCUUUAAGAAGCCCUUCUGUUCUCCACUCAUUACCUGUAUUAACUGCACCUGUUUGAACUCGUUACCUGUGUAAAAGACACCUGUCCACACACUCAAUCAAACAGACUCCAACCUCUCCACAAUGGUCAAGACCAGAGAGCUGUGUACGGACAUCAGGGAUAAAAUUGUAGACCUGCACAAGGCUGGGAUGGGCUACAGGACAAUAGGCAAGCAGCUUGGUGAGAAGGCAACAACUGUUGGCGCAAUUAUUAGAAAAUGGAAGAUGUUCAAUAUGACGGUCAAUCUCCCUUGGUCUGGGGCUCCAUGCAAGAUCUCACCUUGUAGGGCAUCAAUGAUCAUGAGGAAGGUGAGGGAUUAGCCCAGAACUACACUGCAGGACCUGGAGAGAGCUGGGACCAAAGUCUCAAAGAAAACCAUUAGAACACACUAAGCCUUCAUGGAUUAAAAUCCUGCAGCGCACGCAAGAUCCCCCUGCUCAAGCCAGCGCAUGUCCAGGCCCAUCUGAAGUUUGCCAAUGACCAUCUGGAUGAUCCAG
rnacentral:lncRNA from 1 species